rnacentral:lncRNA from 1 species
AAAGUGCGUAUGAUAAUGAGGAUUGUAUUUCUUUACAUUUCAUAAGACUGAUAAAUUGACUGUCAAUAUCAAGAGUAUCAAAGUUUUCUAUAAAGUUUUUGGCUCGAGAAAAUAAAUUAUAUCUUAAGUCAUCAUACAUAGUGCAGUUCAUUAAAAAAUGUUUCUCGUUUUCUAAGACGUCAUCCGGACAGAAUUUACAACUUCUUUCAUUAACUGGUAUUUGCGGUCGUGCGUAUCGGCCUGUCUCGAUUGCCAACGGAAGCGAUCCACUUCGGAACAGGGCAACAACUCGAUGGACCGAUCUCGGCAACUGAAGUUUCAAAUAUUUUUCUGUUUCUACUUUUUCUUUGUAUUGUCUAUAUGUACGUAGUUUAUUGCCGUUUGGAUUAUUCUUGUCAUUAAAAAGUUCGCUAACAAAUUCGUCGUUGUCUACAAUAAUUACGCGCUCAUAAAUUGUUCUCAUCGCAGUUUUUGUCGUAAUGUUAUUAUCGUUCACUAUGUCCGUAGCAUUACACUUUUGUAUCAUUUUGCUAACUUGGUAGUACCAUCCCUUACGCCUAUUUGCAAUCCAUGCUGAUAUCUUACGGGUAAUACGGACAUCAUCAGAUCUAGUAAUUCGACACAUCAGACGAAUACAAGCAAUAC